CACCAGUGUAUAGUGUAUGAGUGAAGUCUACACAUUGUUUAUUUCCUUUGAUAUGUAUUCUAAGGAGUGGUUACGAAGUUAGUACAAACAUCCCAAAUGUAUCCAUUUAGAACAUUUUACUUCAGUGUAGUAUAUUGUUUAAUUUGAUCUGUUUUACUGUUCUCUUUUGUUCUCUUUUACUGAACUCUUCUUUGAAACAGAGCGGAAACAUCACAGCAGACAGCUUCCGGAAAAGCUUUUUUUGGAGUGGGAAGCUGUCCGAUUCGAAGUGGACAAAUUAUGCCAGGAGGACCACUUUGACUGCCCAGCGUGCAGCCCAGACAUGCUUGCAGUAUCCGUUGAUGGAAACCGUAAGCACUACAGAUUCAAGAGUGCAGCAAGGUACUGUGUGUGCAUUGACGGUCCAUUACUUUGAAAGUAACUGCUGUGAAUUGAAAAAUCAUAUGAAUAUUUAAAGUUAAUAUGUAUCUCUUUUAUUUAGAUCGGAGGAAAAAGCCAUCUUUGAUGGCGUGUUCAUCGCAAAUGAUGAUGAUGUAGCAAGAUUCGUUGACUAUGUCCAUACCUCAACCAGUCAUGUCUCUGGAAGAGGUGUCUGUGGAGGGCAAUGGUCAGCGGCACGUGAAACGUCUCAGAAGUCCUCAGGAAAAAAACAGACGAGGAGGGCCUGGAGCUCGCUGUAUGUCGUCAUGGGGUUCUCCUUCGUGCCCUCAAUAUGUUCAGGGGGAGAUUUUUUUGCCUACCCCCUGUACCUCCGAAAAGCAAAUGGCCUGUAAGCCAGUUAAAUUUUUUGCAAUGGAUGUGGCAUGCAAGUACUGGCCUUACCUCCAGAGAGUGACAGAGAAAUGCCCUGAGCUUGAGGAUCUCCUCACCAUGAGGCCAUUUCUUUCUGUUUUUCAUGCCAAAGCUCAUGAUUUCAAAUGUGAGGUAAGAAAAAAUUAUUGUCCAUGACAUUUUCUUUCCCUAAAAUCCUGCAUAAGAUUGUUGCCAUUUAGGUUUAGUUUUUUUUGUUUUCUUUUUUAAAGGUAAAAUGGAGUGGAGCAUAUCAGGAGGGGGCUGGUUCGACUCUUGGGGAAGAGGUGGAGCAGUGCAACGCCUUCCUCUCGAGGAUUGCUGUUACGACAAAGCACAUGUCAAAAGCAGGUAAGGUAACCAGUAAAUUUUGAUCCUGAUGACAUGGGUGAGCCACUUUGAGCUUAUGCAUAUAUGCUGACUCUGAAAAUAUAAAGAUCAGAAUAUAUUAAACACAAAUGGAUGGGUUGAUUACAAUAACAUCAUCCUAUUUUAUUUGACGUGAGGAUAAUAAGGAAGGGCAGUGCGAUAUAAAAAAAACACAUCAGAGUACCAUUCACCUACUGUCCUGCCAUAGUGCUCCAUGCCAUUUUAAUACUGUCCUGCGCCACUGUGUCAUGCUAUUUCUUCACUAUCCUGUGCUAUUUACCUAACCCUUUCAUGGGACAGUAAUCAAAUGGCACAAGACAGCAGAUUAGUACCAUAGUACUGUACUGUAAGUUAUUAUCUCUGAAAAGUUUGUGAUUCAAGUCUGCACAGUUUCUUCUCCUACUGCUACUGGAAAGAAGGGUGAUAAUCUCAUAUUUUUUAUUUUUGCAGGACGCAUAGACAUGCUGACGAUCAUGGCCAUGCGCUGGAACCAACAAAAGUUUGACAACUUGGCUUCUACCCUUGCCCGCCGAUAUCGGAAGGUAAAGACACCAGGUUUUCCCUUAUGCAAAAAUGCAUAGCUAUAUUGUAAAAUAAAGCAAAUAAAUGGCAUAUAUCACAAAAAUAUAGAGAACACUUGCCCAGAUAUUCUUUAAUAUAUAUUAAAUAUAUGGAUGGUUGCAUGUGUAGUGUCAAUUGUAUUUUUUAGUGUCUUGAUAUAAAAUAUUACAUGUUCAUACCACAUAUAUUGAUAGUCCACGUAUAUACGAAUAUACUGUAUAUUUAAUUAGUGUUGUAUGUGGUUUUCUAAUAGUGAAGGUACUUCACAAUCCUUAUCAACAAUAGUCAAAGUGGUAGGCGUUUUUCCUCAUUGUCAUUUAUGUUUGAAGGCCACAAUAGCCCUGCAAUGCCAGUUGCAUAACCUGGAGGCCAUGAAAACGGAAAUGGACGUCUCAGACAAUCAACUGGAGAGGUGGAUCACUGAUAUCAAUGAGUGGGCAGAAGGUAGGAUAUACUGUUUUAUACUGUUUGAUAUGGUGCU
ensembl:lncRNA